rnacentral:rRNA from 1 species
AAUGAACGUUGGCGGCGUGGAUUAGGCAUGCAAGUCGUGCGACAAGUCUGCCUUCGGGCGGAUGGAGGAGCGGCGAAAGGGAGAGUAACGCGUGGGCUACCUGCCCCCAGAUCCGGGAUAGCCGGGGGAAACCCUGGGUAAUACCGGAUGAUGUCUCCGGACUAAAGGUGUGAUUCCGUCUGGGGAUGGGCCCGCGUCCUAUUAGCUUGUUGGUGGGGUAAUGGCCUACCAAGGCAAAGAUGGGUACCGGGUGUGAGAGCAUGGCCCGGCACACUGGGACUGAGACACUGCCCAGACAUCUACGGAUGGCUGCAGUCGAGAAUCUUCCGCAAUGGGCGCAAGCCUGACGGAGCGACGCCGCGUGCGGGAUGAAGGCCUUCGGGUUGUAAACCGCUGUCAGUGGGGAGCAAAUCUAUGAGAGCUAUCUCUCAUAGUUGAGCGAUCCGCAGAGGAAGCGCAGGCUAAGUUCGUG